AGAAAAACGAAAUGGGAGGAGAGGGGUUUUCUGUGCUGGACGCUUUCGGAAGCCCAAAGACAGCAGGCCUGUAAUGAACGGGGUUUGUCGAGUCACCCAGGGCAGACCCAGGAACUAAGCGCACAGCUGUUGACUUACACGGCUGAACCUUCACAGUUCUUUACCUUCUUCCAGGAGUAGCAGAAAAUGAACAUAGCUCAGGUGAGUUCAGUUUUUAAUAGCUUGCUUGUGUUACAAGGGAUUUUAUAAGGGCUUACGUGUCUCUCCGUCAACAUGGAAGAGUAGAAAUAGAAAUGGAUCAGAUGCAUUCAGAGAAGACACAGAAAUACAGUUGAAGAGCAGAGCAAAGGUGGCAGGUGGGUACAUGCAGGUCCUCUGACAUUGCAGAUGUACUACGUUGGAGUUCCAGGUUUAUUUCUGAGGUUUGUGAUAGCCGUGGCAGGGUAUCAGGCGUGAUAUUUCUUUCAAGAUUGUGCCUUUUUCUCGUCUGGUAGUUUGAUUAAUCCUGUGUCCAUGUGUGGAUCUCUUACUCCAAGUUUAUCCUACUUGAAGAUUGUUGAGUUUCUUGGAUGUGUAGAUUAAUGUUUUCCAUCAAACUUGGAGACUUCUUGUUGAUUAUUUCUUCAAAUAUUCUUUCAGACCUUUUCUUUCCUCUCUGUCUGGGACUCUCAUUACACGUACGUUUGUAGACUUGGGACCGUCUCCUAGUUCAUUUUUUGCAGUUAUUUUUUCUUUCUGUUUCUCACUCUGUAAUUUCAGUGGACAUAUGUCCAUUCAUUCUCUUCCACCUGCUGAAAUCUGCUCUUGAAUCCCUCUAAUGAAAGUUUUGUUUCAGUUGUACUUUUCAACUCUUUAAGUUUCUAUUUGGUUCCUUUUUAUAAUUUCUAUCUCUUUAUUGAUACUCUUUAUUUAGUGAAAUAUUGUUCUCAUACUUUCUUUGAGUCCUUAGACAUUGUUUUCUCUAGGUCUUUGAUGAUAUUUAAAAUAGCUGAUUUAAAGUCAUUGCCCAGUAAGUCCAACAUCUGCUUCCUCAGAUGCAGGAAUCGAUUUCUGUUGAUUACACUUUUUCCUACAUAAGGGUCUUACUUUCUUGUUUCUUUCUUUGUUUAGCAAUCUUUUGUUGAUGAUUGGACAUUUUAAGUGCAACAAUGCAGCAAGUCUAGAAAUCAGAAUUUCUCCCCUCCGUGGGGGUCACUGUUGAAAUUUAUUUGUUCACUGACUGUUUUUGAGCUAAUGCCCUAGAGCCUGUGUUUCUUGUGAUCUGUGGCAGUUGGAGUCCCUGUCCUUAAAUGCCAGGAACCGGUAAGUCUCCAGGUCUUUGCUAAGGGGCUCUGUGCGUGUGAGGGCAUUCCUGCAGCAGUCAGGCAGGCAGUUUACGACUCUGUGCUGGCCUUCACUCCCUUCUUAGCCCAAACCUCAAGGUCAGUUAGAGGUGACAGCGUAGUGCCUUCUCACAUCUUUCCUGAGCAUGCUCACAGCCCUGGGCAUAUGCACAGCUCUCCACAUGAAUGUGGCCUUCUAGAUUCUCAGGAAUAUAUUGGAGCUUUUAAAAAUCUGUGUGGACAUCUCAUUCCCCAGCUUUUCCUUUUAAGCUUUUUGAUUAGGGUAUUGUUUGCCCCAACUGUUAUCUACCUCCUCAGAUAGCCACUAAGUUAAACAAGUGCCUUCAG
ensembl:lncRNA